ACAUGUCUGACAUUCAAGAAGCCACUAACAGCUCCUAGUUGUAAACCUGCAUGAGAACCAGAGGUCUGCACAAGUGACAGAAAGUGACCUCAGAGGUGAGUCUUUUGAGCAAACAGCUGUGGAAGAAGUGAGAGACAAAUUGGGGUCACCAUACAAUCAGCAGAGACCAUGGCAAGAUAUAUUUUGUCAUUUCAGUGAAAAUUUGGCUUAGGUUUAUUGUCCGAGAUCGGUUGAUAACUUAUUUGUGGUUGUUCAGGAGUUUUAAGAUUACUAGUUUAGAAAAACAAAGAAAUUCUAAAGGAUUUUGAAGACUUGGCUGGAAAACUCCCGUGGUCAAACACUUUAAUUUUAUGGAAAAUUAAACAAACAAAAACAAAGCUCAAAAAGAUAAUUCAGAAUUCAAGUAAAAGGAAGGUUCAUGAUGGACAAGAAGUCCAAACAGAUGAAAGAGAUGUUAAAAAAAAGAGUUCAUUCACUACAAUGUUUUAGAUUCACACAUCUUAGAUUAUUGUGAAACUCCAGCCAUCAAAGGAGAUAGCAACAUUAGUAGGUGAUGAUUUGGCAUCUUGCAGAGAUGAGACUGAUGAAAGCAAAAAAGAAGAAACUGAGCCUCAAGUGUAAAGUUUAGAGUCAUGUGCAACAGAGUAGGAGAGAAAUACUGCUUUCCCUCAAAUGAGACUGGAAGAGAUUCUGGGGGUGAUGUUUAAGGCUAUUUUAAGUGGAAGGCCGACAUGACCAAUUUGAUGUUGCGAUUCUUUUGAAUAUCCAUGAUAAUGAAAUCACUGUGGGCAUGGCAUUGACUAAAGCGAGUCUCCACUGAAGACGUAUCACACAUUUUGGACCUAUGACUCUUUUGUACCUAUCAACAUUUUGGACCUAUGGGCACAUUUUGGACCUAUCAACUCUUACCCCUGGGAUACUCAGCCUCUGUGGUCUGCUACCUUAUGUUAUAAUAGUCGAUCCAAUGUGUGGAACAGGGGCAAUACCAAUAGAGGGGACUACUUAAUGUUUUCACGUUAUAUUCUGGUGAUAAUAAUCCUCUGGUUGUGAAUAGAGCAGCAAACAACAUCACAUCUUUAUUGACCAAGAGCCAAAUUAAAGAAGGCUAACCAUCCUUGCCCAUAGAUGCUGUUCAAUGGGAUAAAUGCAAUAUGCCAUUAAGAACUGGCUCUGUGGAUAUUAUUGUGGCAGAUUUGCCAUUUGGAAAAAAGAUGGGAUCCAAGAAGAGAAACUGGAACCUUCAUCCACCUUGCCUAUGGGAGAUGAGUUGCGUCUGUGUACACCUACAACAGGCCAAGCUGUACGAUGUACUCAGGACGCGAAAUGCUUUACCAAAGCAUUAUCUGGCAUGUGAUGUGUAUGGUGAAAAGUGGAUACAGUUCGGGUGAACAUUGGGGGUCUUUGUGCUGCAGUUUAUAUUUUGAAAUGUACACCUCAAGCUUUUGUUCAUCCUUCAGAACAAGAUGGAGAAACAGGAGCU
rnacentral:lncRNA from 1 species